rnacentral:rRNA from 1 species
UACGUAGGGGGCUAGCGUUGUCCGGAUUUAUUGGGCGUAAAGAGCGUGUAGGCGGCCAGGUAGGUCUGCUGUGAAAACUCGAGGCUCAACCUCGAGACGUCGGCGGAAACCAUCUGGCUAGAGUCCGGAAGAGGAGAGUGGAAUUCCUGGUGUAGCGGUGAAAUGCGCAGAUAUCAAGAGGAACACCAGUGGCGAAGGCGAGUCCCUGGACAAACCCUGACACUGAGGCACGAAAGCCAAGGGAGCAAACAGG